CGUAAUAGCUCACUGGUCGAGUCGGCCUGCGCGGAAGAUGUAACGGGGCUAAACCAUGCACCGAAGCUGCGGCAGCGACGCUUAUGCGUUGUUGGGUAGGGGAGCGUUCUGUAAGCCGUUGAAGGUGUCCUGUGAGGGGUGCUGGAGGUAUCAGAAGUGCGAAUGCUGACAUAAGUAACGAUAAAGCGGGUGAAAAGCCCGCUCGCCGGAAGACCAAGGGUUC
rnacentral:rRNA from 1 species